GGCCAGCCCUGACUGUGACAGGGGGAUGGGUGGGACAUGCAGAUUUUACACGCAAAGGCCCAUGUCCUACCCUUAUUAGCUGGCUCAGCUCCCAGUGGUGUCAGUACAUUGGAGACUGAUGGCAGUUUAUGGGGUAAACUUUAUCAGGAGAACACAUAACUAUUGUAACAAAAUGCCUUUGUGGAGCAAUCCCUCUAGGCUAGAUCCCAGUCACCUCUUUCUAGAACUCCCCCUCCUCAUCUGGGAGCUCUAGGAUCUCUCAACUGGCUAUUGAAAUGUAUCAAAUCAAUGUGAUAUGUGAAAUGCCCUGUCGGAGGGUUCCAGAGAGGGCUCCUCUCACUGCCCUGAGAGAUCCCCAGGGACCAGUGAGGCUAGUGCAUCUGCAGCUUGUAGUUUAACUCUAUCUCCACUGUGACUAUUCUCUUAAUUACUUCACAUCUUCACGUCAGAUGCCCCUGCACUGCCUGGAGAUUUCCCAGGGGAUGGUUAUGAUGAUGCCAGAGAAGUGUCUGUCCCUGAAGGUGACCCUGCUUCAGGGCAGAAUGAUGAGCAAGGCACUGGGGCGAGUGACAGACACAGGGAUUCAUAGACAGGUGGGAGUCUGCACUGGCUAAGGAGUGAAGUUGUCUCUGGGAUGGACAGAGAAACCCCAUUCCCACUUCCUGGAGACACAGGUUAUGAUGAUGUGGAACAUGGUGACUCUGGGGGAUCAAUAUCAGAACAAUUGAUUGGGAAAAAAAUAACCUUGUGAUGAUAUAAAUGCUUUGCCUUUUUCUCUCAGAACUGCUCCCUCCACUAUGAUGCCUAGAGACAGUCCCUGCCUGGUAGACAGACAAAGCAGGUGUUUUUAUAAGAUUUGUGUGAAGUUGCAGGAAAUACUAGUGGGAGUUGGAAAAGGUUCAUAAACUUUCUUUGUGUAAUUUUCCACCAUUUGAAGGGGGGUUGAAUUUUCCUGCUUUUUUAUGCCUAUAAUUUCUUCAUCUUGAAUUUUGCCUUUUUCAUAUUAAAUCCUUUCUGAAAGUCUUCCCCAUAGUGGAAGUUUUUCUUGCCAGAUGAAUUGUGCAGUUUCCAGGGUUCAUCACAGGGAGGGGCUGAGAUACAAAAGAAAGAGACAAGGGCGGGCCACCUCUGGGUAUAGCAGGCUGUUUGACGGUGGGGGGGGGUUACACUGAAUGUUCUAUCAGGCAUGUGGUAAAAGUGAGACACCAGCAAGAGAACAUUCUGAGAUGAGCAACAAGGUUGUUCCUAAACCUAAUUCAGAUUUGUAACCUUCAUUGAAUCCAAGGAGAUAAAUGAGAAAUUCUCCCUCAUAAUUCACACCUGAAAUUAAACAAAGAGUGAAAAGAAUUCCCCAUUAGCAAUAAAUGUGGAGGAUGAAUAUUUCUGCUAGGACAAUAAAUGAAUUUUAUAGAAAAUAAUAAAAACCAAACUGCUUUAAAACCAACUUUUAAAAUCCAUUUUAGUUUGAAAACGCACCAAACCAAAUAGUUUGCAGCCAUAUACUUUUUGAAAAAAACCACACCUAUGUUUUACACACACACACACACACACACACACACACACACACACUAGCAGUUUAAAACACCAAACCAACAGUUUGCAACAAAAUACUUUUUUAAACACCCACACUUAUAUCUAGCUUAGGCCCCUGAAUCACUAACAAUUUAAACAUUAAAGCCAACUCUUAAGAAGACAAACAACCCCUUUUUAAUUUUU